UACGUAGGUGGCAAGCGUUGUCCGGAAUUAUUGGGCGUAAAGCGCGCGCAGGCGGCCUUUUAAGUCUGAUGUGAAAGCCCACGGCUCAACCGUGGAAGGUCAUUGGAAACUGAAAGGCUUGAGUACAGAAGAGGAAAGCGGAAUUCCACGUGUAGCGGUGAAAUGCGUAGAGAUGUGGAGGAACACCAGUGGCGAAGGCGGCUUUCUGGUCGUGUAACUGACGCUGAGGCGCGAAAAGCGUGGGGAGCAAACAGG
rnacentral:rRNA from 1 species